rnacentral:misc_RNA from 1 species
GAAAAUGUUAAUAAAAAAAGAAAAUUUAAGAGAAAGCAGUUAAAUAAAGAAACGCUAAUCCGAUAAUAAUAAGUAAUUUUCAUAUUAUGAAAACGUCAUUUAAAUUGAUAUUUUUAUGAACACUUGUAAAAUAGUCAAACUGAUUUGAUUGACAAUGUCGAUUCAAUUAUUAUUUUCAAAAGUAAAAGUAAUCCCUCAUUUUACGCACAUCUUCACGUGAAACCUACUUAUUAAAUUAAUAUUUUUGACAUUUUCUUAAAUUUUUU